rnacentral:rRNA from 1 species
UACGUAGGGGGCAAGCGUUGUCCGGAAUCAUUGGGCGUAAAGCGCGUGUAGGCGGUCCGGUAAGUCCGCUGUGAAAGUCGGGGGCUCAACCCUCGGAUGCCGGUGGAUACUGUCGGGCUUGAGUACGGAAGAGGCGAGUGGAAUUCCUGGUGUAGCGGUGAAAUGCGCAGAUAUCAGGAGGAACACCAAUUGCGAAGGCAGCUCGCUGGGACGUUACUGACGCUCAUGCACGAAAGCGUGGGGAGCAAACAGG